rnacentral:rRNA from 1 species
GACGAACGCUGGCGGCGCGCCUAACACAUGCAAGUCGAACGGAGAUCAUUUGGUAGAAGUUUUCGGAUGGACACCGGCUGAUCUUAGUGGCGAACGGGUGAGUAACGCGUGAGCAAUCUGCCUCAGAGUGGGGGACAACAGUUGGAAACGACUGCUAAUACCGCAUAAGCCCACAGCACCGCAUGGUGCAGGGGGAAAAGAUUUAUUGCUUUGAGAUGAGCUCGCGUCCAAUUAGCUAGUUGGUGAGGUAACGGCCCACCAAGGCGACGAUUGGUAGCCGGACUGAGAGGCUGAACGGCCACAUUGGGGACUGAGAUACGGCCCAGACUCCUACGGGAGGCAGCAGUGGGGAAUAUUGCACAAUGGGGGAAACCCUGAUGCAGCGACGCCGCGUGGAGGAAGAAGGUCUUCGGAUUGUAAAACUCUGUCUUUAGGGACGAUAAUGACGGUACCUAGGAGGAAGCCACGGCUAACUACGUGCCAGCAGCCGCGGU